AGAGGGAUCAGCUCAGGGUCCCCCUCAGCCAUUGGGCAGCUGAGGUUCCUGUAUGGUUUUAUAGACGGAGCUGUACAGGGUGACCUGGUGUCUCUUCUUUGUGAUGACUUCUCUGCCCAUAGAGAAAAGGGGAUCUGUUCCACAUCCGCCUGAUCCAGCAUCCCUGGAGAGUACAGACUGUCAGUCUCGGGGUCUUACUAUCUCUUGAUGCCUCUAGUCAAUGGUAAAGAAUCAACGCGAGGGAGAAGAGACAGGGUGUCCUUAAUCUCCACCAACUGACCCAACCAUCCAGAGAAACACAGUGGACACAAAGCCCUGCUUCCAGCUAGCCUGCCCCUCAGAGGCACUCCUCAGUCUUACAGAAAUGGGGAGAGGCCCCUGAGCUUUCGGGUAGCCUGGUUUCUGGCUCCAACAAUGGUGACCCUCGUCAACCAGAUUGUGUCCCUUUCCUCUUCAGCAUGUUCCCAGAUCCCUGCACCUUUCUGAACCCGGUCAGAACACCUUACUUCCAGCCUCACUGCAAGCCUCAGGGUCCUCCUGUCUGCUCUCCCACACUGGGAUCACAACUGCAUACCACUACCCCUGGCUUUUUAACAUGGGUGCCGGGGACAAAACGCCGGUCCUUAUGCUGUGAAAUAAGCAUUUUACCCACUGAUCCAUCUUCCCAGAGAGUCUGAAGAAAUGUGAAGCCCUUGGUAAUGCAGUUAGCUGAUGUCUAGCUGUCAGACACCCAUCCCUCACGAUAAUGGAUGGAUGGAGGUCACGAGAUCAGUGUUCAUUUGAGAGAUGGAGCAGAGACCGACGUAUGACUUCUCACAGUUGGGGAUCGAGAAAGCAUUUUUUUCUCAAAAUUUCACAUGACCUAGAAUAGAAGGAAUAAAUGAUAAAAUCGGAUGCUGGAAACAAGAUAUGAAGUAGAUAAAUUGAGAGUCAAUAGAGAUAAGUAAAGUCUUGCAUCUUGGUCCAAGUAAUUAAGGAAGUACGUGAGGAAUGGGAGGUGCUUGUUGUGAGAGCCAGUCCUAUUUAAAUGACCUGAAAUUGGUGGGUGGGGGAGGGGGGUGGGUUACAGAAAAGGGAAAUCCUAGUUCAUUAGUGGUUAAAAAAUGAACUAGCUGCUGGGCAUGGUAGCAUAUACCUUUAAUUCCAGUACUCUGAGGCAGAAGCAGGCAGAUCUCUGUGAGUUCAAGGCCAACCUGGUCUAUAUAGUGAGAUCUUGUUUCUUAAAAAAAUAAAAAAUAACACUGAAACCUG
rnacentral:lncRNA from 1 species